UACAUUUAUCCAGAAUCCAGAUAUUCAUACCAGUUCAGGGUAGCAUUAUUUGAUCGAAUAAAUCUAUAAAAACAUAACGUUUAGUUCGGGGUAACGUUAUUUAAAUAUAUAAAGUUUGAUGCACGUAUAGUUGUUGAAUAAACAAUUAAAUUAGGUUACGUUCUGGUCAUUAUUAACUAUAUAGUGGACUAAACUGUUUAUAUUUGUAUCAUUAAAGAACCCUGAUAUUUACAUUAUUAUUUUUUUUUAUACGUAGGCAAUUGCAAUAGAAGUUAAACACAACAAACUAUACAGAGUUUUAGUUCAAAUAGCCAUGCAAUACAAAUCGUGCAGGGGUCAAAGACGAUUGCGUAUUUUAAAACUUAACUUUGUAUUCCAGUGGACAAAUGGGAUAGUUAUAUGGUUUUGGUGUAUUAGUUUUGAUUUAGUCAUGUACAAGAUUUUGGAAAGUUUAGAACAACAAUUAGUGAAGGAUGUGAUUCAUAAGACUGCUCAAAUGUUAGCUUUGUACAGAAAACAUUGUGAAAAUUUAUUUUGGCCUGCCAACUUAUCUUGCCCAAAUGUAUGAAACAUAUGUCAUUUUGUUUGAAUUUUUUUUAUUAAAUCUCGUGCAAUGUCUAGUGGUCCGGAAAUGACUGUGGAUGACUGUGUUUGAUAUAAUAUCCAUCUCGUUUUUACCGCCGAUAUACCUACUACUUUAGGUAGUUUUUAGCCUUAGUAAUUGCAAUUCAUACAAUUGAAAAUGAAACCGACUUGGGCAAUGUAGUGAUACCUUGCCAAAUAAUAUGAUCUGGCUUGGCUAAGAUCUAAGUUUUAUGAAUUUGUGGCUAAAGUAUUUGGUGUAGAAAGUUUUGUUUGUGUAAAUAAUAAAUAUAGAUCGAUCUGAACUACCCAUAAUUGAUAAUCCAUUGAAUAAAGUUGUCCAUCAAUUGUUAUGUAAAAUCGAAGAAUCACAAUUUCGUACAAAAAGAUUAACUAUCAUGAGACAAAGUGAUAAAUCUGAAAGCAUUCUAAGAAAUUUCUUGGUUGAAGAUAUGGUAACAAAAAGUUCCUUUGCCAGAGUUUUUGUCUCACAUGCAUAAAAUAAAUACGUCACUUUUUCAGUUUGCAAUUGUAAAAAUGGUAAGAUUGGAUCAAUAUUAUGAGAUUAACGUCUGUCGCAUUUACUAUAAAAACUUAUUCAUAACUUGGCUUAUUUUUUUACUUCUUUUCUGUUACAUUUAUAAACUAUUAUUAUGAUAUUGAUGUGUACAAAAUGUAGUUAUACCUGUUAUUAAUAUUUUUUUAUUAAAUUAUUAUUUUUGAAGUUUAUGUUAUGUUUGUUCAUCA